CAAGUCGAACGGCAGCACGGGAGCAAUCCUGGUGGCGAGUGGCGAACGGGUGAGUAAUAUAUCGGAACGUGCCCAGUCGUGGGGGAUAACGCAGCGAAAGCUGUGCUAAUACCGCAUACGAUCUCUGGAUGAAAGCGGGGGACUCGUAAGGGCCUCGCGCGAUUGGAGCGGCCGAUAUCAGAUUAGCUAGUUGGUGGGGUAAAAGCCCACCAAGGCGACGAUCUGUAGCUGGUCUGAGAGGACGACCAGCCACACUGGAACUGAGACACGGUCCAGACUCCUACGGGAGGCAGCAGUGGGGAAUUUUGGACAAUGGGCGAAAGCCUGAUCCAGCAAUGCCGCGUGCAGGAUGAAGGCCUUCGGGUUGUAAACUGCUUUUGUACGGAACGAAACGACUCUCUCUAAUAAAGGGGGUUAAUGACGGUACCGUAAGAAUAAGCACCGGCUAACUACGUGCCAGCAGCCGCGGUAAUACGUAGGGUGCGAGCGUUAAUCGGAAUUACUGGGCGUAAAGCGUGCGCAGGCGGUUAUAUAAGACAGAUGUGAAAUCCCCGGGCUCAACCUGGGACCUGCAUUUGUGACUGUAUAGCUAGAGUACGGUAGAGGGGGAUGGAAUUCCGCGUGUAGCAGUGAAAUGCGUAGAUAUGCGGAGGAACACCGAUGGCGAAGGCAAUCCCCUGGACCUGUACUGACGCUCAUGCACGAAAGCGUGGGGAGCAAACAGGAUUAGAUACCCUGGUAGUCCACGCCCUAAACGAUGUCAACUGGUUGUUGGGUCUUCACUGACUCAGUAACGAAGCUAACGCGUGAAGUUGACCGCCUGGGGAGUACGGGCCGCAAGGUUGAAACUCAAAGGAAUUGACGG
rnacentral:rRNA from 1 species